rnacentral:rRNA from 1 species
AUUGACCGCUGGCGGCAGGCCUAACACAUGCAAGUCGAGCGGAGCGGCGGACGGGUGAGUAAUGCCUAGGAAUCUGCCUGGUAGUGGGGGAUAACGUCCGGAAACGGGCGCUAAUACCGCAUACUAUCAGAUGAGCCUAGGUCGGAUUAGCUAGGUGGUGGGUUAAAGGACUACCAAGGCGACGAUCCUUAACUGGUCUGAGAGAAUGAUCAGGCAAACUGGAACUGAGACAGGUUCCAGACUUCUACGGGAGGCAGCAGUGGGGAAUAUUGGACAAUGGGCGAAAGCCUGAUCCAGCCAUGCCGCGGGUGUGAAGAAGGUUUGCGGAUUGUAAAGCACUUUAAGUUGGGAGGCGUGACCAACAGAAUAAGCACCGGCUAACUUCGUGCCAGCAGCCGGGUAAUAC